UUAAAGUGGGCGGCAAGUGUUACUCUAGCCCCAAAAAGCCUCUUUCAGGAGGGAAUCUUUCGAGGGCAACUAAAGCGAGUGACUGUGGUCACCAUAUGAUAAGAAGAAAAGAUGCUUCUAAAAUUCUCGGCGUGGGUCCUUUGGAUUCAACUGGCAUGGGAGAGCACCCAGCAGCUGGAGCAGCAUCCUCCAUUUCUAAGCAUCCAGGAGGGGGAGAAUUCCACCAUGUACUGCAACUCCUCAAGCAUCUUCACCAACUUUCAAUGGUAUAGGCAGCAGCCUGGGGAAGGGCCUGUCUUCUUGAUGAUGUUAACUAAGGCUGGAGAUACGAAGGAGCAGAAGAGACUGAAGGGUCAAUUUGGUGAGGAAAGAAAGGACAGCUUCCUGCUCAUCACUGCAGCCCAGCCUGGGGAUGCGGGCACCUACCUCUGCGCAGGGGCACAGUGCCCUUGGCACACCUGCUGCCUGCACCCAAACCCUGCUGCAGGUCCCCAGUCACACAACUGCUUCAUUGCUACAGCUCCACCUCGCAAAUCUCUUGGCAUGCGGAAGAAUCACUUCUGCUGCCUUUCCAGAACAUUCUCCGCCUACACUGGAGGGCAGGAUUUAUCUGUUAUAAGGCAGACUUCUGUAAAUGUAGUUCACUAUUUGAACUAGUGAAAAUAUGGGUUCACAGCUCCCCCAAGAUAGGCAGUGGGGAAAGAAAAGAAUCAAUACGGAGGAUCCCAGAGUGCAUCCCAAAGGCCACAGCCAGGAAUGGUUAGUACAAGGGGGUAGAAAUGAAUGAUUUCACAGCUUUAUUGUAGUACCCUUGGGUUGAUGAAAGUGCAAUACCUCCAGUCUAUUAAACUGGAGUAAAGGGCAGAAGUCUAGUAGAAAAUAAUUUGAAGAAAGUUCCUACUGUUUUUGAUAGAAAGAUGCCCAAGGUGUAUUCCAGUGACAUCCAGCUGUGAUUCCAAAGCAACAUCAUCAGGCAUUCACAUCAUGGCUCAGCAGUUAAC